rnacentral:rRNA from 1 species
GACAGAGGUGGCAAGCGUUGUUCGGAUUUAUUGGGCGUAAAGAGCGUGUAGGCGGCCAGAUAGGUCCGUUGUGAAAACUGGAGGCUUAACCUCCAGCGGUCGAUGGAAACCAUCUGGCUAGAGUCCGGAAGAGGAGAGUGGAAUUCCUGGUGUAGCGGUGAAAUGCGCAGAUAUCAGGAAGAACACCCGUGGCGAAGGCGGCUCUCUGGGACGGUACUGACGCUGAGACGCGAAAGCGUGGGGAGCGAACAGG